GAAAUGCGAUAAGUAGUGUGAAUUGCAGAAUUCAGUGAAUCAUCGAAUCUUUGAACGCACAUUGCGCCCCUUGGUAUUCCAUGGGGCAUGCCUGUUCGAGCGUCGUUUGUACCCUCAAGCUCUGCUUGGUGUUGGGUGUUUGUCCCGUCUCCGCGCGUGGACUCGCCCCAAAGUGAUUGGCAGCCGGCGUACUGGUCCCGGAGCGCAGCACAUGUCGCGCAAACGAGUGCCUUGGUACGGCGGCGUCCAUAAGCCCCUCUCUCACGCUCUUGACCUCGGAUCAGGUAGGGAUACCCGCUGAACUUAAGC
rnacentral:misc_RNA from 1 species